UCAAAGGAUAGUUUAAUUAAAAUAAUAAUUUUGGGGAUUAUUGAUAAAAUAAUAUUUUUUUCCUUUGA
rnacentral:tRNA from 1 species